rnacentral:rRNA from 1 species
UACAGAGGUCUCAAGCGUUGUUCGGAUUCAUUGGGCGUAAAGGGCGCGUAGGCGGCGCGGUAAGUCGGGUGUGAAAUCUCGGAGCUUAACUCCGAAACUGCAUUCGAUACUGCCGUGCUUGAGGACUGGAGAGGAGACUGGAAUUUACGGUGUAGCGGUGAAAUGCGUAGAUAUCGGAAGGAAGACCAGUGGCGAAGGCGGGUCUCUGGACAGUUCCUGACGCUGAGGCACGAAGGUCAGGGGAGCAAACGGG